GCAUCUUUUGAAUAAUAUUUUUUAUUAAUAAUUAAAGCAUACAAAAAAUAGUAGCACGAUUCUAGAAUUUUUGGAAUACGUAGUUUAAAUAAUUGAAUUAUAAAAUGAUUAAUAUAUUUUUUAUUAGUAACAUAAUAAAUAAACAGAAGUACGCUACGACUUGCUUUAACUAAACUUUGAUUUUCAGAGCUUCAGUUGCGAUUGCGGGCAAUGCAAUCUUAGAAUCAGUGUUCGUUUUAAAAAAUGUUGCAUUUUUUGUAUGCAAUCGCAUAGAUUGCUUUAAAAGUAAUUCAAUCGUAAUAUUUAAAAUCAAUGCAAGAAUUUGUUAAAAUAUUCUUGUUAAAAAAACAAUUUGUUCGGUACGCGAUUAGAAUCAUUAACACACUUUCGGCCAAUUCGGUAGAAGAGGAUUUGCGUUUCGAUUAAAAUAUUGUCAUGGUCGAAAGUGUGAAUUAACAUCUUUAUUUCUUCUGGAUCAUCUUUAUCAACGAACCUGGGGCUUCGUCUGGAUAAAUCAACGAUUACUCAUCAAUUCAACGAUUCAACGAUUGAACGAUACAUCCAAUUUAAAUCAACUUCACAUCUUUAUUUCUUCUGGAUCAUCUUUAUCAACGAACCUGGGGCUUCGUCUGGAUAAAUCAACGUUUACUCAUCAAUUCAUCGAUUCAUCGAUUCAACGAUUCAAC
rnacentral:lncRNA from 1 species